rnacentral:rRNA from 1 species
GAUGAACGCUGGCGGCGUGCCUAAUACAUGCAAGUCGAGCGAACAGACGAGGAGCUUGCUCCUCUGACGUUAGCGGCGGACGGGUGAGUAACACGUGGAUAACCUACCUAUAAGACUGGGAUAACUUCGGGAAACCGGAGCUAAUACCGGAUCAUAUAUUGAACCGCAUGGUUCAAUAGUGAAAGACGGUUUUGCUGUAACUUCUAGAUGGAUCCGCGCCGCAUUAGCUAGUUGGUAAGGUAACGGCUUACCAAGGCAACGAUGCGUAGCCGACCUGAGAGGGUGAUCGGCCACACUGGAACUGAGACACGGUCCAGACUCCGACGGGAGGCAGCAGUAGGGAAUCGUCCGCGAUGGGCGAAAGCCUGACGGAGCAACGCCGCGUGAAUGAUGAAGGUCUGCGGAUCGUAAAACUCUGUUAUUAGGGAAGAACAAAUGUGGAAGUAACUAUGCACGUCUUGACGGUACCUAAACAGAAAGCCACGGCUAACUACGUG